AACUUCGUAAGUUUAUACUUUCAAAGUAGCAGACGAUCACGAUUUGGAGGGGAAAACAAAAGCAGUUGCUUAGUGAAUAACAAUUCAAUAACAAUUCUCGAAAACUUCCAUUAAAGGUUAUGGCUGCUGAGCAAGUUGUUGCUCCUGAUGAUUUGGAGUCUGAAGAAGAUGAGGACUCAUUUUUUCAAGAUAUUGAACAAUUACAGAAUCACGGAAUUAAUGCAGCUGAUAUUAAGAAGUUAAAACAAUCAGGAAUAUGCACCAUCAGGGGUAUACAUAUGACAACCAGAAAGAAGAUGUGUGCAAUAAAAGGUAUAUCUGAGGCGAAAAUGGAGAAAAUCAAAGAAGCUUCUCUGAAAAUUUGUGAAAAUGGUUUCUUCACUGCUCUGCAGUAUGCACAGAAACGGAAACAGAUUUUCCAUAUUUCCACGGGCAGUGAAGAGCUUGAUAAACUUCUAGGUGGUGGGAUUGAAAGUAUGUCUAUCACAGAAGCUUUUGGAGAGUUUCGAACUGGGAAAACACAGUUGUCUCACACCUUGUGUGUUACUGCACAGCUACCUGGGAUACAUGGUUACACUGGAGGUAAAGUGGUAUUUGUUGACACAGAAAAUACAUUUCGUCCUGAUCGCUUGAGAGACAUUGCAGAUCGUUUUAAUCUAGAUCAAGAGGCAGUUCUGGAUAAUGUAUUAUAUGCCAGAGCAUAUACCAGUGAACACCAAUAUGAACUUUUGGAUUUUGUGGCUGCCAAGUUUUAUGAGGAACCUGGAAUAUUUAAACUGAUGGUUGUUGAUUCUGUUAUGGCUUUAUUUCGUGUUGAUUUCUGUGGACGAGGAGAACUGGCUGACAGACAGCAGAAACUUGGUCAACUUCUAUCACGACUUCAAAAAAUAGCAGAAGGUUUCAAGGGGACCCAAAGAAACCCAUUGGUGGACACAUUCUAGCACAUGCAUCCACCAUUAGGGUUUACCUUCGUAAAGGAAGAGGAGAUACAAGAAUUGCAAAGAUCUAUGACAGCCCAGAUCUACCAGAAAGUGAAGCAACAUUUUCCAUCACACAAGGAGGAAUCAAUGAUGCAAAAGAAUAGAAGUCAUAUCAAUGU
rnacentral:misc_RNA from 1 species